rnacentral:rRNA from 1 species
AAUAGAUACCCUGGUAGUCCACGCCGUAAACGUUGGGCGCUAGAUGUGGGGACCUUUCCACGGUUUCCGUGUCGUAGCUAACGCAUUAAGCGCCCCGCCUGGGGAGUACGGCCGCAAGGCUAAAACUCAAAGGAAUUGACGGGGGGCCCGCACAAGCGGCGGAGCAUGCGGAUUAAUUCGAUGCAACGCGAAGAACCUUACCAAGGCUUGACAUACACGAGAACGGGCCAGAAAUGGUCAACUCUUUGGACACUCGUGAACAGGUGGUGCAUGGUUGUCGUCAGCUCGUGUCGUGAGAUGUUGGGUUAAGUCCCGCAACGAGCGCAACCCUCGUCGCAUGUUGCCAGCACGUUAUGGUGGGGACUCAUGUGAGACUGCCGGGGUCAACUCGGAGGAAGGUGGGGAUGACGUCAAAUCAUCAUGCCCCUUAUGUCUUGGGCUUUACGCAUGCUACAAUGGCCGGUACAAAGGGCUGCGAUGUCGUAAGGCGGAGCGAAUCCCAAAAAGCCGGUCUCAGUUCGGAUUGAGGU